rnacentral:lncRNA from 1 species
CCGUAUUGGGACCUCAUUGGGUUACUAAUCGAGUCAGGUCUCAUACUGGAUAAGAGGCCAUAACAAGACUGGAUUGGACGUCUCCGUAAUUAGAUCAGAUUGGCCCUUCAUAUCAAGUUCACUCAAUGUUGAAUUAGUCCUUUUUCCUUCUGCUGACUCUUGUUAUUGGAAUUGAAUGAAGCAUUUCACUACUGAUAAGUAUACUCCAAUUGAUUGCGAUAGGAUGAUGGUAAUUGGCCCUUGAAUAUUGGCACUGGAAUUGGCCGCUACUACUAAUAUUCAAGAUGACUAAAUAUUAAUAAAAAUCUUCUUCUUU